UUGAGCGGAGAUAUAUGGAGCUUGCUUUAUAUAACUUAGCAGCGAACGGGUGAGUAACACGUAGAUAAUCUAUCCUAUACUGGGGGAUAGCCCGAUGAAAGUUGGAUUAAUACCGCAUAUAGCUAUAUAGUUGCAUGAUUAUGUAGUGAAAGAUUUAUUGGUAUAGGAGGAGUCUGCGGCACAUUAGCUAGUAGGUGAGGUAAAGGCUUACCUAGGCGACGAUGUGUAGCCGGUCUGAGAGGAUGAACGGCCACAAUGGAACUGAGACACGGUCCAUACUCCUACGGGAGGCAGCAGUGGGGAAUAUUGCACAAUGGGGGAAACCCUGAUGCAGCAACGCCGCGUGAGUGAAGAAGGUUUUCGGAUUGUAAAGCUCUGUUAGCAGGGAAGAGGAAGGACGGUACCUGCAGAGGAAGCCACGGCUAACUACGUGCCAGCAGCCGCGGUAAUACGUAGGUGGCAAGCGUUGUUCGGAAUAACUGGGCGUAAAGGAUGCGUAGGCGGUUAAACAAGUUAUAUGUUAAAUAUAUAGGCUUAACCUGUAGAAAGCAUAUAAAACUGUUUAACUAGAGUGCAGGAGAGGUAAGUGGAAUUCCUAGUGUAGCGGUGAAAUGCGUAGAGAUUAGGAAGAACACCAGUGGCGAAGGCGACUUACUGGACUGUAACUGACGCUGAGGCAUGAGAGCAUGGGGAGCAAACAGGACUAGAUACCCUGGUAGUCCAUGCUGUAAACGAUGGGU
rnacentral:rRNA from 1 species